CAAGAAACAAAUAAGAUAGAACUACACUCCCUGGAUUCAAAUCCUGGUUUUACUCCUACUAGCUGUGAGACUUUGGGCAAGUUGCUUAGUCUCUCUGUGCCCCACUUCCACAUCUUUAAAAUGGAAAGUAAUGGUACACACCACAGGGGACUAUGAUGAGGAUUGAGUACAUGUACAUGAAAUGCUUCAAACAGUGCCUGGCACACAGGGGUAUGGGAGGAGGAACAGUUAGUAUUGCCUUGUACAAAGAGGAAAUUAUUUUUUUCUAGAUGGAAAGUUAAACAUUGUCAUUCUUGUACAUUGUCAUUCUUCUAGUUAAAAUUCUGCAUAGAAUAAACAAUAUAUAGGUUUGUUAAAACAUACAUCAUAGCGAUAUACAAGUUCAAUUUGUCAAUCAUACAUCAAUAAAGUUGGGGGGAAAAUCAACCAAUCAACCAGCCAACCAACUAAACAAAUGAACAAACAACAAACAAAUGAACAAAAGCACUGUCACUGUUUUAGACAUGAAGCCUAUUCAGCGUGAAAUCCAGACAUUUUCACAAGGCAGAUUAAAUAUGGCUUUAUGGCUAAACCCUUAUUUCUUUAGGGAUUUUCUGGUAUUAUGCACAUAAAAAAUUUUGUUUUGCUUUACAGAGUUAUGGCCUCACCUGAAAACAGUUAUCUACAAGUCAGUUCACUUGCUGUGGAAUUAUUUUUAAUGUUUUACAUAAUCAAGGAAGAUCCUGGAAAAGCAAUCCCUAGCAGAGGGAAGUGUCAUUUAAACAAAGUCAAGCUAAACUGACCUUGGUGAACACCUGCAAGCCAGCAAUCUGGGAGGCUGAGGCAGGAGUACCACAAGUUCAAACUCAGCCUGCACCGAGAACCUGUCCAAUAAUAAUAAUAAUAAUAAUAAUAAUAAUAAUAAAAGAUUGGGGAUAUAGCUCUGUGCAAGGCUCUGGGUCUCUGAGUUCCAUCCAUAUUAACAACAACAACAACAAAAUAAGC
rnacentral:lncRNA from 1 species